UACGAAGGGGGCUAGCGUUGCUCGGAAUGACUGGGCGUAAAGGGCGCGUAGGCGGAUGGCACAGUCAGAUGUGAAAUUCCCGGGCUUAACCUGGGGCUGCAUUUGAUACGUGUUGUCUAGAGUGAGGAAGAGGGUUGUGGAAUUCCCAGUGUAGAGGUGAAAUUCGUAGAUAUUGGGAAGAACACCGGUGGCGAAGGCGGCAACCUGGUCCUUGACUGACGCUGAGGCGCGAAAGCGUGGGGAGCAAACAGG
rnacentral:rRNA from 1 species